UCCAUCUCUCAAAUUGGCUUCCCCCCAUAUUCCCAAACAAUUGUCCAGAUGUUUUCUCCUCCCCUUCUUUCAAAUCCUACCAUCCACUUUUUUUCUCUUUCAAGAGAAGACCUUGUCUUCGAAUUCACGGAGAAAUCUGUCCUUGGGUCUGGAUCUCCCUCAGUUUCCUUUUCUGUGCCCCCACCAAUUUGUCAGCACAUCUUAUUGGCUUCUCCACAGAGGAAGGAGCCACAAGAUCCCUCUUCUCCCAUCAUUAGCUGUGGAGCCCAGCCUCUGAGUCUCCUCAGUGAGCCUGCCUGGUCAAUCCUUUCCCCUGGUGUUGGUAUCUCUCCCAGCUCGGAGCCCCUGUUCCAGAUCAUCUCUUCCCUCCUCUACUCGACUUUUCCCCAUCCUUACUCCCCACUCCGAGGUCUCUAGAUUAUCUUACCUUCUUCCUACCUGACAGGUACUCUGUCUUCUGCCAUUCUGCAACUAAAUUGUGGCCAAAAUUGUAUUAAAAUGGUAAAAUCAGAAUAAAAGUCACAACUAAUCUGGAAGAAUCACACUGCUCUUUUGGUUUUCAGAUGGCGCCAUCAGAAGACUCUACAUUAUCCAACACUUUCUAUGAGUCACCUCAGCAUUAUAUGAAGUGGUAUUUUUUACAGAAUAACUCAGUGGGGUGGACGACAUGACACACGUAGGCACUCGACAGAUGGGGCUCUAACUCCAGUAAACAAAAUCUUUAACUGGAGGGGAGCUGAUCCUUUGGUCUUCAUGUUCAUGUCGGAGACAGAGGAAACCAAGAACGUCCAUCCUUUGCCCUGACCAUAUAUAGGACAUACGCAAGGAGACUGCAGUCAGUGUCCUUGGUGGUGGAGGAGAGCUUUGGAGACAUAACUGGAAGGUUAUAAAAUUGCCCUCAAGACCAUCAGAGCGAGGAGGUAAAUUCAUUAAUCUCAUAAACCCUCCUGAGCACCUACCGUGUGCCAAGCAUGGUUCUCAGUUUGCCCAGUGUGCUUCUUGCUGAGUGCCUACUUCUGCCUCAUCCCAGUUAGCUCUCUGCCACCCACGGAGUUCCUUUACCUAUGAGCCCUACAAGGGAGAGGGUUAUGACUUUUUAUACAUGAGGACACUACAGGGAGGGAAAUUGAGUUAAUCGCCCGAUGCUCCAAAAGGCAAGAAAGCAGGAUUAUAAACCAGGGCAUCCUGCCCAAGAGCCCCCUCUGUACUGCAAGGUGCUUCCUUUCACACACUCUGCAGCCGGCUGGUCCAAAAUCAGAACUGGUGUGAAGGGGAAAUUCCUGGCCUUAGCAGUUUUCAGAGGAAAAAAAUACCCUGCUUGGUUUCAUGGUGUUUUCUGUUGCUUACAUCCAUAUCCCUGUGUUGACAUAUUUUGCCCAAUUUUCCUUUGUGUUUUCUCCUCUUAUCAGUCCUGGGAAGGCUUUCUGAGGAAGCCCAGGCCAAUAGCACACACGGCUUCCUGUGACCCUAACAGGCUCCUGACCCCUGGCAAGGGAGCAGCAAAUUUCCCUGUUUCCUGGAAGAGAGUCCAGGUUGGACCAUUUGGGGAGCAGAAGGGGGGCACCCAGCAGUGACAGGCGCAACAGGCAGCCUGCAGAUAGCAGCUGUCAGAGUCUCUCUGCCCACCUGACACUCACCUGGCCGACCCGACGCCCCCAGGUGAGAGCUCUGAGUGGGAGCACGGGGAUCCCCGACAGAGGCUGUGACCAGGGAGGGCACACUGCCUGUCCCCCCCACCCACUGUGCCCACACUGAGGGGCCUGCUGCUCCCUGCAAGUCCUGCUCAAGCCCUCCCCCUUGCAGGGCCUACCGCUCCACCUUGCAGGGCCCUCCCACUCCCAGUUCUGGAAGGAAAUGCAGAGUUCCUUUCCUCUGCCCACACCGGGGCUCCCCCCAGUCAUUCCCAAGGGCUCCUGCAGCUGGAGAGGAAGACAACCCUUGCCCACCACUUGGUAUAAGGCACUGGGCCCCCUCCUAGGGCCAAAGUUCCAGGCCUUCCUCGGGGGCUUUGGCAACAAUGCUUGUUCACAGUUGAUGAGAGCGGCAUCGUUUUCUAGCUUAAAUUCAAGACAAGAAACUGCUUUGAUCUUUUCUCUGAGCUUCGUGGUUACCGAGGCUCCCCCAAAAGAGCAUGUGAUACUGCCUUGCUU